rnacentral:rRNA from 1 species
CCUACGGGCGGCUGCAGUGAGGAAUAUUGGUCAAUGGACGAGAGUCUGAACCAGCCAAGUAGCGUGAAGGAUGACUGCCCUAUGGGUUGUAAACUUCUUUUAUAUGGGAAUAAAAUGUUCCACGUGUGGGAUUUUGUAUGUACCAUAUGAAUAAGGAUCGGCUAACUCCGUUCCAGCAGCCGCGGUAAUACGGAGGAUCCGAGCGUUAGCCGGAUUUAUUGGGUUUAAAGGGAGCGUAGGUGGAUUGUUAAGUCAGUUGUGAAAGUUUGCGGCUCAACCGUAAAAUUGCAGUUGAAACUGGCAGUCGUGAGUACAGUAGAGGUGGGCGGAAUUCGUGGUGUAGCGGUGAAAUGCUUAGAUAUCACGAAGAACUCCGAUUGCGAAGGCAGCUCACUGGACUGCAACUGACACUGAGGCUCGAAAGUGUGGGUAUCAAACAGGAUUAGAUACCCCAGUAGUC